rnacentral:tRNA from 1 species
GAAACUUUAGUUAAAUUUUUAUAACCUAGGUAUGUCAUCCCUAAAUUACCAAAAACCUGGUAAGUUUCU